GUCUGUGAGGGGUUCAUGCUGUAUGUGCAUUGACACAAGUCUCCCCUCUGCCCUUUGCUGAGCAGGGCUGGAUUCAUCCUCUCACCCUGGCUCACAGAGGGGUUUUCCAGUACACACCGGUCCUCUGCUCUGGCCUGAUGUCUUGGAAUAGGCUCAUCUUCUCUCCCAUAUACCCUGCAGCAUCCCCGCUUGAGACCCAAAUGUGCUUCCCCAUUUCUGCUUCCCUCAUUUCUCCCUUAAUUAAACGGCUUUGGAAGGAUCGCUCCCCUGCAGCACACAUGCCUCUCCCUCGCUGCUAGCUUCCUGUCUCCCCAGCCUCUCUGCUCUUUUUGCUCUCUAGUAUUUGCAGAGUCACCAAAUUUACAGCCCGUGGAAACUUAAGUGGUCUGUACUCCCUCCUCCAGGCCAUUAUGAGGGUAUGUUUCCACACUAUUUCCUCCAAGCCAGUUCCUUGCAGCACCAAUUGCCCACUGUCCUUUUACCCAUGCUAGUUUAACCUGCUCUCUGGAUUUGUACCCACCAGCCGAGAACCAUCGCUUUCCAUUCCCAAUGCAGCUCGGAGGAUGUAAAACUCCCCAGCCAGCACCUAAGUCCCAAGGCAACAUCUUUGUCUUUUGAUAAAGAAUACAGGUUGUUAUUCUGAAAACAGUAUAAAUCACUCCGUCGAUACAUACUUGUUAUUUUCUCUGUUGCUUCCUAAAUACACGUCCUUUCCUUUGAGGACUACAGCGCUGUGAACCUCGUGCAGCUCCUCUGGUGCAAACACACUUUGCUUUGUGCUCACUGAAUACAGAGCCAGGAGAGAAAGACGCUUCCCUGCCUGGCAGAGCCUGUGCCAAGAAGCUCCUGUUGGAUCAGCUGCUGCCAACACACCCAGCCCAGUCCAUCAGCCCUGCCUGUUUUCAAGCCUUUCAAUGCUCUCCUGACCCAAAAGGAGGGAAACCAGCUGUACCCUGGGCUCCUGUGCUCUCUGCCUCAGUCCUUUCUGGAGGACGUGAGAUCCACACCUAACCAUGCCACAUUUUGAGACCAAAAUCUUCACUCCUUGAAGCCGGGAUCCUGCGUCCUUGGGUGAGAGAAAUCAGAAAAGGACAAGAGAGCAGGCAAUUUUAGCCACAGCAUCAUUCUGUGGGGAGAGAGAGGGAUGUGGGAUGUGGACAGCUUUGAAGAUAGGCGACUCAAAGACCUAGUUAUUCUCCCUGUUUUUCCCUCACCAACUUCAGCAGCAAGAACACAUAAAUUGUGUGUCAUAGCUGCCUUUUCAUCUGUCCCGGGAGUUAUAGACUGCACACAUAAGACAAUUCAUGUUCCUCUGCAUAAU